rnacentral:rRNA from 1 species
UACAGAGGUCUCAAGCGUUGUUCGGAUUCAUUGGGCGUAAGGCGCACGUAGGCGGGUCGUUAAGUCAGGGGUGAAAUCCUGGAGCUCAACUCCAGAACUGCCUUUGAUACUGGCGAUCUCGAGUUCGGGAGAGGUGAGUGGAACUGCGAGUGUAGAGGUGAAAUUCGUAGAUAUUCGCAAGAACACCAGUGGCGAAGGCGGCUCACUGGCCCGAUACUGACGCUGAGGUGCGAAAGCGUGGGGAGCAAACAGG